AUCUGUUCUUAUCAGUUUAAUAUCUGAUACGUCUGUCCACUCCACACAUCGGCCUGGUAUUGCAGUGUCUCCAGAAACGGUGU
rnacentral:snRNA from 1 species